GUUAAAAAAGAAAAGUGUUAAGAGGCUAAUUUGCCGAUCUACAGAACACCCUUAACCAAAUGCCUGCAGUAGGAGAGAAGGAUCUAUCUAUCUAUCUAUCUAUCUGUCUAUCUACCUAUCUAUCUAUCAGACAAGGUGGGUGAGGUAAUAACUUUUAUUGAACCAACUUUUGUUGGUGGGAAGAACAAGCUUUCGAGAUUCAGAGAACUCCUCCUUAGGUCUGCCUUCCUUCUCCACACAUGAGAAAGAGCUCUGUGAACCUCGAAAGUGUGUCCCUUUCACAAACAGAAGUUGGUCCAAUAAAAAAUAUUAACUCACCCACCUUGUCUCUCUCGUAUCCUGAGACCAAAACGACUGUAACUCUCUGUCUCUGUCUGAAAGUAAAUACAAGUGUAUCUGCCUGUCCAUAUGUCUGCAUUUAUGGAUUAUACUCCUCCGGAAAAUGGUAACCUAGUUUAUUUGUCUGCAAUAAAUAUAACGAAGUUAUACACCUACACCGAGGAGAUAUAGUUUAAAAAUAACACUCCUUCCCAUUGUCUCCGGGUGGCUUCCUGGGCAGAAUUUCUCCCUCUGUCUUUUCACAGCCCUCCCAGGAGGGGUGUGGGUCCUUGACUGUAAAUAGGCCGGACGACACAGCAGACGCCUCAUUCUGUGUGUGACAGCGGUAGAGACGAGAUGUGGAUCGCCGUCUGCCUCCUUCUCCUCAGUCCCGCGGCUGGGAACUCCGUGACCCAGAUUCCAGCGUCUGCGUCAGCCAGGGAAGGGCGGCCCGUGAAUCUGUACUGUCAAUACAGCACCACGUACCCGUACUACGCCCUGGGAUGGUACCAGCAGCUGCCCGGGCAGCAGCCUCUCUUCCUACUGCGCAGAAAUGAGAAGGGAAAUGAAUACAAGCCCGGUUCUGUGGCCCCUCGGUUUUCCUCCGAGCUCAGCACCGAUGUCAAAUCGUUCACACUGUCCAUAGACGGGGCGCAGCGGGCUGACUCGGCGCUGUAUUUCUGCGCUCUCUGGGAUCCACCGCGCUACAGAGCGCCCCGGGCUCCCGACACAAACUGCCGGAGCGGGAGGCGGUCUCGAAAAUGAAGGGAGAUGAGUCAUUUCCUCUACCUGCACCGCGGGGAGGGAAGCCACAUCUCAGGGGGCACCAAGAAGUGUGUUAUUGUUUAUAAGCAGGGGGUUGCUCACUUCCUAGCUUAUGCAGGUUCAUCGUAUUGCUCGCCCCAGGGUCUCCUGCAUUACUCUCUUCCCUACGGAAACGACCAGUCUGCCUCCCUUCCAUCCCCACUUUUUCUCAGGGACUCCCCCAGCUCUUCCCCGCUGGAGUCUCCCCCAUUAUCACCUCCUCCCAUACCAGGGUCCCCCAUAUUUGCCCCAUGCCAGAAGCUGGUUGCCCCUCUAUUCCCACUAUACCUCCCCAAUGUAGAAUAGACUAAAAGACACUAUUUUGCAUGGUGAGGAGUUUCAGAGGGAUAGCCCUGUUAGUCUAUUUCAGAAAAACAACGAGGAGUCUUGUGGCACCUUAGAGACUAACAAAUGUAUUUGGGCAUAAGCUUUUGUGGGCUACGAACCACUUCUUCAGAUGUAUGGAGUGAAAAAUACAGUAGGCAGGUAUAAUUAUACAGCACAAGAAAAGGCAGGAGUUGCUUUACCAAGUGUGUGGGGGGGUCAAUA